UACGUAGGGUGCAAGCGUUUGUCCGGAAUUAUUGGGCGUAAAGAGCUCGUAGGCGGUCUGUCACGUCGGCUGUGAAAACCCGGGGCUCAACCCCGGGCCUGCAGUCGAUACGGGCAGACUAGAGUGUGGUAGGGGAGACUGGAAUUCCUGGUGUAGCGGUGAAAUGCGCAGAUAUCAGGAGGAACACCGGUGGCGAAGGCGGGUCUCUGGGCCGAUACUGACGCUGAGGAGCGAAAGCGUGGGGAUCAAACAGG
rnacentral:rRNA from 1 species